rnacentral:lncRNA from 1 species
AAUAGCACACGGUCAACUCAACCUUUGGUACUGUUUACUUCAUGCGCUGAAAUAAAACCACCUGCUCCAAUCUUGGUGUAGUCCAUGCUUAAGUUCUCAUGAAAUUGAUCAUGUUUGCCUCCAAUCUACAAACUUCAAAGAAACUACCAUGAUAAACCAUAGAGGUGUUAAGUAUAAAUUGAAGUGAUACAAACUAAAAUAGUAGAUAUACCAGUCAGUUUAUUCACAAAAAAGUCAACUAGAUACAUUCCUAAUCCACCCCAAUGGAAGGGAUAGCACAAAUCAUGAAAUUUCAUAUAUAGAAAUAAAAAAUCUAGAAGCCAUGUUUUGAAUUAGUUAACCACGUCAUCUAUUACCCACCAGUACAUCAUCCACGACCAUGUCAUCUAUGCUUCCAAAUAGACAAAAGUAAAACUAAGCUUUUCUGAUCUGAAGCCCUAGAAAUAGCUGAUAUUUGCUUAAUUAGAACUCAGGAUCCAAUCCAAUCUAGUGGGCGAACUAUUGCACUGCUCCACACACAUUCAUGUACAACCUAUGGAUGCGCACGUAGGAAGCGACACAAUUGGGGAUGUUUACUUUGUGGGGAUCAUUGUCUUGUUGUUAAUCAUACGACCCCAAAUAAAUUAUAUGUCUAUCUAGUGGUUAGAAAUAAUAAUAAUCAAAUCUAGCAUUUGCAUGGUCGGCUGUACCACCUGAAUCACCUUUGAUGAAAUCAUCUAAAUAUAUUCAGAUAGAAAAAAAAUCUAGCCACUUCAUGCUCGAUCAUAACCAAGAAAAAGAUGUCCAUGGAUCUGUUAUUUGGUAUUAACAGAUGCACGUACAAAUAUAUUGUGCUCAGGUCAAUGAGACAGAUUAGGGCAUGUACAUGAGAUAGAUAAAAGAGAGAAGCAAAGGCAUAGAUUAGCAAUCUGGAGACCAAGAUGUGGCAGCAUUAUUAGGAAAAUUGUAGAGCAUGCUGCUGGGGAGCGGGAACUUACCUGAUAUACGUGAGAUUCAUCGCGGGGGACUGGGGCAGAGCAUAGGAUGCGCAAAAGCUAUUAGGGCCCAUGGUUGCAUGAUGUUGGUGUACAUGCCUAUGAAUUUCGUCCACCGCGAGACAUGCGACCCUUGCGUUGGGCAUGGGCGAUUCUCAUCCCCGUGUUGGCAUUAGGUUGGCUUUAGGAAAUCAAUCAAGGCUGAUUGGAACUCAUCACUGCUAUGCAUGCCCAGCCGGCAAGCAGGAAGAAAAGGUGAGCAUCUAACGAUGACGCGUCGGUUAGCAGGAUC